UACGUAGGGUGCUAGCGUUGUCCGGAUUCAUUGGGCGUAAAGAGCGUGUAGGCGGCCUGAAAGGUCAGCUGUGAAAACUCGAGGCUCAACCUCGAGACGUCGGUUGAAACCAUCUGGCUAGAGUCCGGAAGAGGAGUGUGGAAUUCCCGGUGUAGCGGUGAAAUGCGCAGAUAUCGGGAAGAACACCCGUGGCGAAGGCGGCACUCUGGGACGGUACUGACGCUGAUGCACGAAAGCUAGGGGAGCAAACAGG
rnacentral:rRNA from 1 species